rnacentral:rRNA from 1 species
AACGAACGCUGGCGGCAUGCCUAACACAUGCAAGUCGAACGAGACCCUCGGGUCUAGUGGCGCACGGGUGCGUAACGCGUGGGAACCUGCCCUUAGGUUCGGGAUAACUCCCCGAAAGGGGUGCUAAUACCGGAUAAUGUCUUCGGACCAAAGAUUUAUCGCCUUUGGAUGGGCCCGCGUUGGUUUAGCUAGUUGGUAGGGUAAAAGCCUACCAAGGCGACGAUCCAUAGCUGGUCUGAGAGGAUGAUCAGCCACACUGGGACUGAGACACGGCCCAGACUCCUACGGGAGGCAGCAGUGGGGAAUAUUGGACAAUGGGCGAAAGCCUGAUCCAGCAAUGCCGCGUGAGUGAUGAAGGCCUUAGGGUUGUAAAGCUCUUUUACCCGGGAUGAUAAUGACAGUACCGGGAGAAUAAGCUCCGGCUAACUCCGUG